GACGAACGCUGGCGGCGUGCUUAACACAUGCAAGUCGAACGGAAAGGCCCUGCUUUUGUGGGGUGCUCGAGUGGCGAACGGGUGAGUAACACGUGAGUAACCUGCCCUUGACUUUGGGAUAACUUCAGGAAACUGGGGCUAAUACCGGAUAGGAGCUCCUGCUGCAUGGUGGGGGUUGGAAAGUUUCGGCGGUUGGGGAUGGACUCGCGGCUUAUCAGCUUGUUGGUGGGGCAGUGGCUUACCAAGGCUUUGACGGGUAGCCGGCCUGAGAGGGUGACCGGCCACACUGGAACUGAGAUACGGCCCGGACUCCUAUGGGAGGCAGCAGUGGGGAAUAUUGCACAAUGGGCGGAAGCCUGAUGCAGCAACGCCGCGUGCGGGAUGACGGCCUUCGGGUUGGGAACCGCUGUCGCCUGUGACGAAGCGUGAGUGACGGUAAUGGGUAAAGAAGCACCGGCUAACUACGUG
rnacentral:rRNA from 1 species